AGCAUGUUAGCUCAGGGGAAGAGCGCCGGGCUCAUAACCCGGAGGUACGUUUCACCGCCAACAAUUUCACACCUAAACAUCAAACUAACUCGCAAUAGGACCCUGGAUCGAAACCAGGACAUGCUA
rnacentral:tRNA from 1 species